AGCUUUGCGCAGUGGCAGUAUCGUAGCCAGUGAGGUUAAUCUGAGGCGCAAUUAUUGCUAAUUGAAAACUUUUCCAGAAAAAA